rfam:Fukomys damarensis contig114323, whole genome shotgun sequence.
AGCCUUCUCAGUGGCAGUAUCUUACCAAUGAAGUUUAUCCCAGGAGCAAUUAUUGCUAAUUGAAAACUUUUCCAAAUAUUCCACCAUAACCUGAUACACAAUUGACAUUGGAAAUUUUUCAGUCUCUGUGGGAACUGAAUUUUUAAAAGUCUAAAACCAGA